GGAAAAGAAAGUACUAACUAUUGAUGGAGGACCAAUUUGUUGCCAUAUAUCUUUAGCCUUACAACAACCACUUCUCCUGUAGGCUGUAACAGGCUAACAACACAUCUCUGCUACAGGUCUGGGUAAAUAUAUUACGAUGCAUUCUGGAGACAUUAGUUAGAAUUUUCCCUUGGCAGUUAACCUGAAGAAAUGGUCUGCUGCAGUAAUAUUGUUGUGCAUGAGUUGAAGAUUGAAAUUCUCAAGGUCAUUAAUUGUCAGCAAACUAUGAAGUUCCUUUUCCAAUAAGCUUGAACUCCCAUGUUCCUGAAUCCUUGAAGAAGCUCAAAUCCUGUGAGUCCAGUGUUUGAGUCCUAUAAGAAAAUAUCAAAACAAAAUGCAAACAUCUCAAAUGAUAUGCUUAUUUUUCCCUGCCACAACAAAUUAAAAAAACUCUUCAUUAAGCAAUUCCAAUAAGUCAGAAAUAACCAUAAAAAUGUAUUCCUCUGUCAGUUGCUUAGUCCUACCAAAACUUCCACACAAUUGCAAACUUACAAUAUAAAUGCCCCUCAGGUUUUAGCUGUUAGCUGAAAAUGUUGUGUUAGAGAAUAUGAUUUUUGUGCUAUAGAAUGAUAACAUGCUAAAGGCAAAUUCUAUCUGCCAAACAAAUCAACUAGAAGAACACAGAUGCUGAACAUCUGCCCCAGCAAGCUGACAAAACAUGCUGAAAGGGAAGGCAGGAAAUACCUUCUCCACAAAAUGCAUCCCAACUAGAGAAUAACAAGGACCUAAUUAUUUCUUCCCUGAUGGAAAAACUUCAUGUACUUGCAAUAUUAAUGUCAGCCAGACAAUAAAACAUAGUUCAGCAUGAAUUUUAACACUGAUUAUAAAAUAGCUUAGUAACACUAAUGCAAAACCUAUUAUUGCAUGAAACUACUGGAAUUAGCAUUUAAUGUAUCUGUAUUAAUACCUCAUAAGUAUGCACAGUAAUUAAGUUUAAAAAUGGAUUUCAAAAUUCCUAAACAACAGUUCAGAAGUACAGCAAUUCAAACAUUUACAGCAACAAUAUAUAUAGCUUAAUCAUAAAAAUGGGCAUAAAUAUCCAAACUUCAACUAUAGUUCCGAUACAUGACAAUUAAAGGGGGAAAAAAGAUUAAAAGGAAAAGAUUUGUGCCACAAUAUCUUCACAAUACCAUUUCACUGAAGUCAAACAAUAAUGGUAUUUCACAACCUUAAGUUUGCACAAUAUAAACAGGCAAAGCAAUAUUUCCAGCAAGAUUCUCCCUCCUAAAAGAUAAUGCUGUUAUUGAACAGCAUAUUACCAAAACUGAAAGCAAUGUGACAAGUGAUCAAAUCAUGACAGAUCCAGACAAUUAAUUAAAAUCAGCACCAAUUUCUUUGCCCUUCAACUCCAAUGCCAUUCGCUCAUUCUCAAGCUUCAUCCUCUCAUUUUCCAUCCUCAACUUUUCUAGUUCAUUAUCUCUUUUCUUGCUAAAUCUUUGCCACUUGAAUCGCUGUUUUUCUAAUUCCAACAUCUCAUGUUGAAGUUGUACAUUCUGCUCUUCUAACUGAAGCAUGCAAGAUUCCAUCCAUUGCUUCUGUAAGCAAGCUGCUCUUAUACUUUCAGAUGAAACUUGAUUCAUAUCAACUUGGGGAAUUUGCAAGCGAGAAUAAGAACCUUUAUUACCAUCCUGAGAUGAAUUCCCAAAAUAAACAUCUUCAAGGCCCUGGCCUUGUCUCAACCUUUUUACAGAGCCCCCUAAGACCCCAUACAUUCCCCUGCCAUCCCCAGGUGAAGGUUGAUUCUCCUCUAGUUCAUCAUGAUCAUCAGUUUCCACUUCUUGAUCAUCUUCAUCAAGAUCAUCAUGUUGAUGCUUUCUCACAUCAUCACUAUCAUGAUCAUCUUUACUUCUAAGAGCCAACUGCAAGGAACGCUGUAAUGCUGGAUCAUGAGGCAGAUGCAAUCUAUUACCGUUAUGGUAUGAACACAUCUCUUCAUAGAAGAGAUGCUUUGAGCUUAAUGUUUUCCGAACAUCAUCUUUCUCUUUCUCUGUUAGAUAAUUUAUAACAUCCAAAAGCGCAGGAUUCUCUACAACUUGGCAAGAAGUGCCCCUUCCAAGCAUGUCAUUGAGCUUUUUGUACCUUUUGUUAAGGUCAUUGAAUUUAUCCUCGCACUGCUGCGGUGAAACAUGGAAACCUCUUUCAGCCAUGACCUUGGAAACCAAUUUCCACUUGCCCUUUUUCUGUAAGACUGCUAAUUUCCUUCUCAUCCCACCUUCACUAUCUGAAGACGUAUCCUCGCCUAUGUAAGAUACCGCAGUUAUCAAAAGCCUCACCAUCUUAUCAGUCCACUUAACACGCUGCCAUGGUGACCCCUUUUUCCCUUUACUUGCAUCAUUAUGACCAUCAGCACCAUCUUCAGUAUAGCUUGGCUCAUCCUCAUCACUUGCUGAAUUUUUCCCCUUAUCUCCCUUAUUGUAAUCAGUCAUGGAAAUGGUUUGAUCAGAGUUGUCCACCGUUCCUAUGGUAAGAGGGAAAGCCUCAUGAACUGAGGGAUGGAUUGAGGAGCCUUGGCGAUGACCAGGGUGUUGUUGCUGGUUUACAGUAUGUGCGUACGGAGCUUGAUGACGAAGUCUAAUUGAUCCUUGCAAGUCAAGACCUCCAAAAGGAGCCCCACCAGGCAUCAUACCUCCUUGUGACAAAUUCCCUUCCAUUUUCUUUUCCAGAACGAAUUAGAUCAUACCCAUGAGCCCAUUUUCCUAAAACCUUAUUUACUGUUCAUUUUUCUCUCUCUGAAAGCCAAUUAACAUGCUUUAUGCUCUUAUCAAGCUAAGCAAACUCAUUUCUCAUUUUCACCUUUUUAAGCAUCUCAUCAAAUUCUCCAGCUACAUAGAUCCUCAAACAUGUAUAUUCAAUUCGCACCAGGCAAACAAACACAAACCCUUUUCAGAACUCAAUACCAAGCUCAAAAUCUCAAAGAAAAACUUCACUAAAAUACCCAGUUCCAAAUUUCCCAAAUUCACCAAUAGUUACAUAGAAAACGCACCAAAACAUUCAAACCGAAAAAAAAAAAUCCUCAAUGUUCAGUAAUAGAGAAGCCAAGCUACUUAUCUGCAGCAGAAAAAUUCCACACAGCCAACACCAUGCAAGCUUGAGAGAGAAAGAAACAGAAUUGCCUAUAAUAAAGGCGAAAAUCUAGGAAGAACAUCAAUUACCAAGCACAAAGCCAUCACAAGGGGGGAAAAA
rnacentral:misc_RNA from 1 species